AUUGAACGCUGGCGGCAUGCCUAACACAUGCAAGUCGAACGGAGGUAGGGGCAACUCUACUUCAGUGGCGGACGGGUGAGGAAUGCGUCGGAAUCUACCCUAUGGUGGGGGAUAACACAGGGAAACUUGUGCUAAUACCGCAUAAUGUCGAGAGACCAAAGCAGGGGACCGCAAGGCCUUGCGCGAUAGGAUGAGCCGACGCCCGAUUAGCUAGUUGGUAGGGUAAAGGCCUACCAAGGCGACGAUCGGUAGCUGGUCUGAGAGGAUGAUCAGCCACACUGGGACUGAGACACGGCCCAGACUCCUACGGGAGGCAGCAGUGGGGAAUAUUGGACAAUGGGCGCAAGCCUGAUCCAGCAAUGCCGCGUGUGUGAAGAAGGCCUGCGGGUUGUAAAGCACUUUUGUUCGGGAAGAAAUCAUGCUGGUUAAUACCUGGUAUGGAUGACGGUACCGAAAGAAUAAGCACCGGCUAACUUCGUG
rnacentral:rRNA from 1 species